rnacentral:rRNA from 1 species
GAUGAACGCUAGCUACAGGCUUAACACAUGCAAGUCGAGGGGAAACGAUAGAGAAAGCUUGCUUUUUCUAGGCGUCGACCGGCGCACGGGUGAGUAACGCGUAUCCAACCUGCCCACCACUUGGGGAUAACCUUGCGAAAGUAAGACUAAUACCCAAUGAUAUCUCAAGAAGACAUCUGAAUGAGAUUAAAGAUUUAGCGGUGAUGGAAGGGGAUGCGUCUGAUUAGCUUGUUGGUGGGGUAACGGCCCACCAAGGCGACGAUCAGUAGGGGUUCUGAGAGGAAGGUCCCCCACAUUGGAACUGAGACACGGUCCAAACUCCUACGGGAGGCAGCAGUGAGGAAUAUUGGUCAAUGGGCGAGAGCCUGAACCAGCCAAGUAGCGUGCAGGAUGACGGCCCUAUGGGUUGUAAACUGCUUUUAUAAGGGAAUAAAGUGAGUCUCGUGAGGCUUUUUGCAUGUACCUUAUGAAUAAGGACCGGCUAAUUCCGUGCCAGCCGCCGCAGUAA